GCCGGGCAUGGUGGUGCAUGCCUGUAAUCCCAGCUACUUGAGAGGCUGAGGCAGGAGAAUUGCUUGAACCUGGGAGGCGGAGGUUGCAGUGAGCUGACAUUGUGCCACUGUACUCCAGCCUGGGAAACAGAGUAAGACCCUGUCUCAA
ensembl:misc_RNA Metazoa_SRP Metazoan signal recognition particle RNA